rnacentral:rRNA from 1 species
AUUGAACGCUGGCGGCAGGCCUAACACAUGCAAGUCGAACGAGUGGCGGACGGGUGAAUAAUGUCUGGGAAACUGCCUGAUGGAGGGGGAUAACUACUGGAAACGGUAGCUAAUCCCGCAUACCAUCGGAUGUGCCCAGAUGGGAUUCGCGAGGAGGUGGGGUAAAGGCUCACCUAGGCGACGAUCCCUAGCUGGUCUGAGAGGAUGAACAGCCACACUGGAACUGAGACACGGUCCAGACUCCUACGGGAGGCAGCAGUGGGGAAUAUUGCACAAUGGGCGCAAGCCUGAUGCAGCCAGGCCGCGUGUAUGAAGAAGGCCCUCGGGUUGUAAAGUACUUUCAGCGGGGAGGCGUUACCCGCAGAAGAAGCACCGGCUAACUCCGUGCCAGUAGCCGCGGUAAUUC